rnacentral:rRNA from 1 species
CGAGAUUCCCCCAGUAGCGGCGAGCGAACGGGGAGGAGCCCAGAGCCUGAAUCAGUGUGUGUGUUAGUGGAAGCGUCUGGAAAGGCGCGCGAUACAGGGUGACAGCCCCGUACACAAAAAUGCACAUGCUGUGAGCUCGAUGAGUAGGGCGGGACACGUGGUAUCCUGUCUGAAUAUGGGGGGACCAUCCUCCAAGGCUAAAUACUCCUGACUGACCGAUAGUGAACCAGUACCGUGAGGGAAAGGCGAAAAGAACCCCGGCGAGGGGAGUGAAAAAGAACCUGAAACCGUGUACGUACAAGCAGUGGGAGCACAGAGCAAUCUGUGUGACUGCGUACCUUUUGUAUAAUGGGUCAGCGACUUAUAUUCUGUAGCAAGGUUAACCGAAUAGGGGAGCCGAAGGGAAACCGAGUCUUAACCGGGCGUUAAGUUGCAGGGUAUAGACCCGAAACCCGGUGAUCUAGCCAUGGGCAGGUUGAAGGUUGGGUAACACUAACUGGAGGACCGAACCGACUAAUGUUGAAAAAUUAGCGGAUGACUUGUGGCU